GAUGAACGCUGGCGGCGUGCCUAAUACAUGCAAGUCGAGCGAACAGACGAGGAGCUUGCUCCUCUGACGUUAGCGGCGGACGGGUGAGUAACACGUGGAUAACCUACCUAUAAGACUGGGAUAACUUCGGGAAACCGGAGCUAAUACUGGAUAAUAUAUUGAACCGCAUGGUUCAAUAGUGAAAGACGGUUUUGCUGUCUCUUAUAGAUGGAUCCGCGCCGCAUUAGCUAGUUGGUAAGGUAACGGCUUACCAAGGCGACGAUGCGUAGCCGACCUGAGAGGGUGAUCGGCCACACUGGAACUGAGACACGGUCCAGACUCCUACGGGAGGCAGCAGUAGGGAAUCUUCCGCAAUGGGCGAAAGCCUGACGGAGCAACGCCGCGUGAGUGAUGAAGGUCUUCGGAUCGUAAAACUCUGUUAUUAGGGAAGAACAAAUGUGUAAGUAACUAUGCACGUCUUGACGGUACCUAAUCAGAAAGCCACGGCUAACUACGUG
rnacentral:rRNA from 1 species